GGCCCAAACUCCUACGGGAGCAGCAGUAGGGAAUCCUUCACCAAUGGGCGAAAGCCUGAUGGAGCAACGCCGCGUGAGGGAAGAAGGUUUUCGGAUCGUAAAGCUCUGUUGUUGGUGAAGAAGGAUAGGGGUAGUAACUGGCCUUUAUUUGACGGUAAUCAACCAGAAAGUCACGGCUAACUACGUGCCAGCAGCCGCGGUAAUACGUAGGUGGCAAGCGUUGUCCGGAUUUAUUGGGCGUAAAGCGAGCGCAGGCGGAAAGAUAAGUCUGAUGUGAAAGCCCUCGGCUCAACCGAGGAAUUGCAUCGGAAACUGUAUUUCUUGAGUGCAGAAGAGGAGAGUGGAACUCCAUGUGUAGCGGUGGAAUGCGUAGAUAUAUGGAAGAACACCAGUGGCGAAGGCGGCUCUCUGGUCUGUAACUGACGCUGAGGCUCGAAAGCAUGGGUAGCGAACAGGAUUAGAUACCCUGGUAGUCCAUGCCGUAAACGAUGAGUGCUAAGUGUUGGGAGGUUUCCGCCUCUCAGUGCUGCAGCUAACGCAUUAAGCACUCCGCCUGGGGAGUACGACCGCAAGGUUGAAACUCAAAGGAAUUGACGGGGGCCCGCACAAGCGGUGGAGCAUGUGGUUUAAUUCGAAGCAACGCGAAGAACCUUACCAGGUCUUGACAUCUAGUGCCAUCCUAAGAGAUUAGGAGUUCCCUUCGGGGACGCUAAGACAGGUGGUGCAUGGCUGUCGUCAGCUCGUGUCGUGAGAUGUUGGGUUAAGUCCCGCAACGAGCGCAACCCUUGUUAUUAGUUGCCAGCAUUAAGUUGGGCACUCUAAUGAGACUGCCGGUGACAAACCGGAGGAAGGUGGGGAUGACGUCAAGUCAUCAUGCCCCUUAUGACCUGGGCUACACACGUGCUACAAUGGGCAGUACAACGAGAAGCGAACCUGUGAAGGCAAGCGGAUCUCUUAAAGCUGUUCUCAGUUCGGACUGCAGGCUGCAACUCGCCUGCACGAAGCUGGAAUCGCUAGUAAUCGCGGAUCAGCACGCCGCGGUGAAUACGUUCCCGGGCCUUGUACACACCGCCCGUCACACCAUGAGAGUCUGUAACACCCAAAGCCGGUGAGACAACCUGUAAAGGA
rnacentral:rRNA from 1 species